rnacentral:rRNA from 1 species
AGAGUUUGAUCCUGGCUCAGGAUGAACGCUAGCUACAGGCUUAACACAUGCAAGUCGAGGGGAAACGACAUCGAAAGCUUGCUUUUGGUGGGCGUCGACCGGCGCACGGGUGAGUAACGCGUAUCCAACCUGCCCACCACUUGGGGAUAACCUUGCGAAAGUAAGACUAAUACCCAAUGAUAUCCCACGAAGGCAUCCGAAUGGGAUUAAAGGUUUACGGUUAUGGAUGGGGAUGCGUCCGAUUAGCUUGUUGGCGGGGUAACGGCCCACCAAGGCAUCGAUCGGUAGGGGUUCUGAGAGGAAGGUCCCCCACACUGGUACUGAGACACGGACCAGACUCCUACGGGAGGCAGCAGUGAGGAAUAUUGGUCAAUGGGCGCAGGCCUGAACCAGCCAAGUCGCGUGAGGGAGGACGGUCCUACGGAUUGUAAACCUCUUUUGUCGGGGAGUAACGUGCGGGACGCGUCCCGUAUUGAGAGUACCCGAAGAAAAAGCAUCGGCUAACUCCGUGCCAGCAGCCGCGGUAAUACGGAGGAUGCGAGCGUUAUCCGGAUUUAUUGGGUUUAAAGGGUGCGCAGGCGGCGCGCCAAGUCAGCGGUCAAAGUUUCCGGGCUCAACCCUGGUGUCGCCGUUAAAACUGGGCGUGGCUCCGAGUGCGUGGCGAAGGAAGGCGGAAUUGCGUUGUGUACCGGUGAAAUGCAAAAGAAAUGACGCAAAACCCCCAAUGGCCAAAGGCCACUUUUCCCACCCCCCUACCUGACCCCGAAGGCAGCAAAAGCGGGGG